GACGAACCGUGCGAACGUUGUUCGGAAUCACUGGGCUUAAAGGGCGCGUAGGCGGAUCGACCAGUCUGUGGUGAAAUCCUUCAGCUUAACUGGAGAAGUGCCGUGGAUACUGUCGGUCUCGAGGAGGAUAGGGGCAUCUGGAACUGCCGGUGGAGCGGUGAAAUGCGUUGAUAUCGGCAGGAACUCCGGUGGCGAAGGCGAGAUGCUGGAUCCUUCUGACGCUGAGGCGCGAAAGCCAGGGGAGCAAACGGGG
rnacentral:rRNA from 1 species